rnacentral:tRNA from 1 species
GGAGACGUCUUUCAAAGGUAGGAAAAUCGUCUGAUACGCGAUUAAUGAGCGUUCAAUUCGCUCCGUCUCUA